CCACGGACAUGGUGGUCAUGGCCACGGACAUGGAGGUCAUGGGCACGGACAUGGAGGUCAUGGCCACGGACAUGAAGGGUAUGGCCACGGACAUGGUGGAUAUGGCCACGGCCACCACGGCCACCACGGCCACCAUGGCAUAGGGAGGCCUGGUGCUGCUGAGACUGAAAUCAAGAAUUAGAUAACCUGUUAGUUUCUGUGACUUACGUUGCAGGUGUGUUGUAAGGGUAGCAGUACGAAAUAAAGUUGUUUGGUUGAGUAAUCUAUAUGAACUCUCAAUCAUAAACUGUCCUAAGCUUGUUCUCAUGUUUCUCAUGUUCUCUGUAAUGUACGCAUUGUAAUGUACGCAUUGGAAUGUGUUCUCUUGUUAUGUGAUAAAAUGUGAUGUAACUUUCUCAAUACAUAUUAUGUCAAAAAUGUUUAGUAUGGCUUGGCUCCUUAAAAUUGAGGGGGAGCACAUCCUCAUAACAAAUGAGAUUUUGGCACUAGUGAAACUUCAAAAAAAUAAAAAUAAAAAGAGGUUAAAAGAAAUCAAAUGAAAAAAAAAAUUAAAGGAAUUUGCCAAGUGUCAAAACUCUAUUUCUUUUGAGGAGGAACUGCUCCUCAGUUUUGUGGAGCCAAACUUUUUCCUAAUAUUAAUGGAGUUCAUGUAUGACUCAUUUGUUUUGGGUACCAAAUUUAAUGAAUUGUGCAUUCAUUGGUGGACCCAUAAGCAUACAGUUUUUAAUUUAGGUGAGAUACUCUCGGCAAUUUAAAUCAUGUCAAAAACAUGAUAUCAAAAAAAAUCAGCCAUCAUCGAGUUUGUAGAUAAAGAAAUAAUAUAUAUGAAUGAACGUAAGCUAUAGAGAAGAACAUUACCAAGAGCUUUCGUGCUGAUAACGUAUUGUGAAACUAGAAAUUUGUAGGGAGAAAUAAGAGGAAGAAAGGGAGUAUAAUUUGCUCAAAUAAACUUGUAUUCCAUUCAUAUUUGGUGCCACUAUUUAUAGGGGUAGAGAGGCCUAAAUCAUUUACCACCAAUAAUUGAUAGGUGACAAAUAUAUAAUGAUGAGUAUUAUGAUAGGUUAAUAGUGGCUAUUAUUGUGAGCAUCCAUAACCUAUAAACCAAUAACAUAUGGAUUUAUAACACAAAUACGUUUAUUAAAUAAACAAUAAUUAAAAAGUAAAAAGAAGAUAAGAGUCUAUGUCCAACAAGAAUUCUAUAUAGAUUACUGUUGAGGCCCAAAAUGUCACGAGAAGCUCAAGGAUAUUUAAAGUCCAAUAUAACAUAUAAUGUUGGCCAUGCGUUAAUCCAAGCUGUAUUUUGGGAAUUAAUUCAUUAAAUAAAUAUAUAAAUAGUGUACAUGCCAUGCUAAUCAAAUAUUAUAUUUUUCUAUGCUAAACCACCUAACAAGCUUAAGUGGACCCAAGCCACAUAUAUAUUUAGGGCUUGUUGAACGGAUUGCGGUGUGAAUGGUUACAAGUGUUCAUAAAGCUUGUUGAAGGAUCACUGUUUUACAGCUGCUUGGGAGUACCAAAAUUCAUACCCACUUUCUUGAGCCUAAUUACAAGAGUAAGCAGAGAGGGAACUCCCAGCCUCUUCCAAAACUCAAACCCACUUUCAUUACUAUGCACAUAGUAAUUACUGCACACUCAUGGGGAAACCAAUUGUUGAGCACUGUACACUCACAGAUCCUUCCUUACACAAUCAUUCUUCAGCCUAUAAAUAGACCUUCAUCCCUCCUUGCAAUACACACGCCGAAACCAGAAGAAGAAUGGCAGGAGGCAAGCUCAUCCUCCAACUGCCGUCUACACACAAAGCCCAAGCCUUCCUCCAUCAUGCUUCUCUUCUUUCAUAACACCACUACAAGAGUCUUGAACAUCACACGGAAAACCAUCCCAAACCAUCCCAACUCCCGAAAACACCACAUGCAUCUCACCUCCAACAUCUUAUUCCAAUCCGAGCAGCAAAAGCAUUCUCUCUUACUGAACUUAUGGAGACUUGCUCUCACACCAUAAGCCUUUCAAGCCAAGCUUCAUAUUGAUACACUGAAGCAAACUCUCAUGCCAAGCGUACAGUAUCAACGUAGCUACUCUUCACCAGAGACCACCUCCCUCUAGCAUAUUCUCCAGCGCUAUUAAUUCCACUACCUGCAUCACAUAUUUCACUUCAAGAAAAGCACUUCCAACACAACAAAAUCAAGCACAAUCAUUCCAGUACCCGUUGUACAUGCAUCAAAACUUGCAAGAAGCCACUGAAGAUAACUAAAUCACUCUCUAAGUCUUAAACUCUUUCGGAGUGCUUUGGGGCCUGGUGCUGCAAACUCAGAAAGAGUAAAGGAGAGCUCAGUCCACGUCACACCAGUCCAAAAAACCCAUUGCAUCUUUCAACAAAAAAGACUCUCACAUAAAUGGCAACUUUGCUAAAGACUAGGCCAUUAUUCUUAGAGUGGGUCCUCCACAAUCACAAACUUUGUGAUUCGUAAGUCACCACUGGUGGCUUCAUGCAAAGCAAGUUUUCCGUUGCCUUCAAGUUCUUCCUGCUGCAAGAAAGAAGAAAUCGUGAAUUUUUCUUUGUAUUCAGUAUUUAUUGCAAAAAAAAUUGUUCUCUCGAUAAAGCAAGCUGCAAACAAAAAAAAAAAAAAAAAACAACGAGUCAAGCAUCCAGGAGCUGUUGAUUUUAGUUUUCUUCCUGAAACAAUUAAAGAAAAAACACACAACCAAAUUCUACAACCCCUUUCCGUGACAAGGGUAGCAUUCAUAUGCUCAGUUAAUGCUUGAAAUCACUAGCGGACCCAGAAAUUUUUUAGCGAAUGUGCAAUAUUGACUAAGUAUGAAAAAUGGUUUUUCGAAAUAAUCAUUUUGUCAAGAUAAUUUUUAGCCGCUUUUAUUUCUUACACAUCAAAUAAGAAAAUUUGAUUUUAUGGGAUUUUAGUAUAUAUGAAGUAUAUAUUGACUUAAUGAGCCAUCAUUUUUAGCUUAAAUCGUAUUUUGCACUAAAAUCGAAUUUUCAUAUUUUGAUUUGGUGAGAAUUUGAUUUUCUAGUAUUUUUAUUUGAAUCCAAAUGGGGGGUACUUUCUUAUUUACAUUGUAAACUUAAGUAAAUGGAGUAAUAUAAAAAUAAAUAAAAGUAAAAGGACAAAGACAUUUAAGUAAGGUAAUUUGUACAUCAAUUGAGCAAAUGAGCAAUUUGAAGCACCUACAAUGGUUUUUCCGGCAAGGGGAGGUGCAGCUGCACCUCCUUGCCCCUUAAUAGGUCCGCCUCUGCUUGAAAUGGUAAAAAUGAACAACAACAAAAUUAACGAUAUAGUUUGCGGUUCUAUUUAAUCCAUUCUCCCUUUCAAACCAGUUGAGUAAAGGCCAUCAUACCCAUUAACAUGGUCUAGUCUCGUGAAAAAUAUUUUUAACUUGCAAACUAGUAGUUUCAUGUUCGAACUCCCAUGACACCUUGAUAGUGUGUGUGAGAAAACCCCCUCCUUAUUCCUACCUUUGGCAACCAAAAAAAAAAAAAAAAAAGUCAUCAGGCCAUCAUAUAAACUCAUCUUGUUGUUUGAUCAUAUAUAUUAAUGUAUUUGAAUUCUUAGAAUAAUAUAUUAAUGUUAAUAUAUUUGAUUAUUUAUCAUUAAACAUAUUUUAUUAUGUAACUAUACAAAACAUAUUUUAUUAUUUACAAGGCAUAUUAGUAAUCAAAUUGAUUUUGAUUCCUAUUACUGAAUACUUAUAUAAGAAUGAUAUAAUAAUUAGUGGGAAAAAAAAAGGGCCUGGUUUCAGACAAAGUACUAAACAUGAGUGGGAAAUAUACUAAACACAAUAACUUCUGUUUACUUAUGUUACUCCAUUAAUAAAAUAAUAUAUUCAUUUGUAGAGGAAAUAGGGAUCAAAUUUCCUAAAACUCUUGCUAUAUAUUUCUGUCCUGAAAGAUUUAAGGAGCCUCAAUUUUGGAUAUUGCAACCACUUGAGACGUUAAUUAAUUAGACUUUAGAGAACGGUUAGGAUUUUGCAACCUCUUUGCAAUUUUGGAUAUUAUAUAUUCUUUCUCUACUUUACCUUAAUGACUCAUAAUUACCAACAAGGACACUAGCACUGUAGCACAGCUUCAAGUUUAAGCCAUGGCAGAGGCGAGGGAGGGGAGAAAGACUUCUAUAUAGUGCUAUUCCUGACCAAUAACGCCGUAAUAUUCGUGAUAAUAUUUCGAUGUGGCAUAACAUUAUUGGUCGAAGGUAACAAAACAAUAUUAUCCCCGUUGUAACUAAGUUUUUCUCUGUGGAGCUACUCUUAUUAUGAAAAUGACGUGAGAGAGAGGGAGGGGGUCAUAUUUUCAGAAUAAUUUUGCUAAAAAACGAAAGUAGAAGAAUUAAUUAUUAUGAAAAUGACGUGUAAUAAAACCACACGUUGCGUGACAUUGCCGUACAUGCAGUCGGUGAGUCCACAGAUGACCAUGCAUUUGUUUUGAGUCGGAUUAAGCAGUGAAUGGGGGCACUAGUUGUCCAUCUUUAUAUGACCCAAUGACUUAAGAUAUCUAUAUGCAUACAGACUUUUAAAAAGUAGAAGCAAUACAGCCUUAGAAAGGCAGUGCGUGCAUGGAAAAAGAUUAUCUGGUCCCAAUUUGCAUAUUUAUUAUUAGGUAAAAUACUUUGAAAAAGCACAAAUCGUCAUAGUUUGUGGACAUGAGAGAUAGAUACUGUGGCUGGAUUGUCAACAAUGACAGUGUGAACGACUUUUCUUUAUACUGAAAUAAGAAGUGAACGUGAAUAUUUCUUUCCUAGUACAAAAGAUUGACAGCUACAAUUUAGCAUUCCUAUUCUGGUUAACCACUGAUUCGUAGGAUCUAGAUACAAGGAGAAUUGUAGGUUCAUCUCCUAUAUAUGUUGCUGUACAUUCAGAAUUGUACAUUAUACAAAUAUAUGAAAUACCAGUUUCUUUACAUGGUACCAGAGCCUCCUUUUUUUUCUUCACCAUAAACAUCAAUGGCACCAGACAACGAUGCCAAACCAGUUGACAGAGAGAAGUCCUCAUCCACAACCGAUAGAGAUGCAUAUGACUCUACCGAUCCCUACUGCAUACACCACUCAGAUCAUCCCGGCAUGAUAUUUUCUUCCAUGCCACUGACUGGUGAUAACUACAGCACUUGGAGUCGUAAAGUAUGAAUUUCCUUGAGUGUGAAAAACAAAACAGGCUUUAUUGAUGGGUCCAUUGUGAAGCCAUCCCUCACCAAAAAACCUAUAGAGUAUCAACGAUGGCAGAGGUGUAACGACAUGAUCUUGUCGUGGAUUCUCAAUUCUUUGGAUCCUGACCUUGCUAAUAGUGUUAUUUAUGCUGAGACAGCUCAUGAAGUUUGGACUGAUUUAAAAGAACGAUAGAGCAACGCUCCUAGGAUUUUUCAGAUUCAAUGCAGCAUAGCGACACAUACGCAAGAUCAGAUGCCUCUGGCAACAUAUUAUUCAAAACUAAAGAGCUAUUGGGACGAACUGGGUUCCUACAAUGAUACAGAAGUUUGCUCCUGUGGAGCAAUUAAAGAAGUCGUUGGCCGAGCGCGAGAAACAACAACGCUUGAUGCAAUUUUUGAUGGGACUAAAUGAAUCCUAUGCAGCGAUCCGAGGGCAGAUUCUCCUUAUGGAGCCCUUGCCAUCAUUUAGAAGGCAUAUUCCCUACUUUCACAGGAAGAGAAACAACGUGAAAUCACCACUACCCAUGCAAAUACAAAAAGCAUGGCCAUGUUAAGUAUCCACAAUAAGAAAGGGGGUUCUUCUAAACCCGCUUAUCAAUUCCGCUCAUAACAAGGACAGAACUCACAACCUCGUUCCUCUUUUCGAGGGAGCCAAAAAGAGACUCGACGUUGCACUCACUGCAAUGGAGAUACUCACACCGUUGAUACUUGCUAUUAUCUCAAAGGGUUCCCUCCAGGACAUAAGUGGCACAACAAAGAAGUCUCUCUGCCUGAUAGAGGAAGCAGUUCACACCAAGGAAACCAAAGGAAGUCACAUGCUGCCAAUAAUGUCCAAAACUCAGAUUCACAAGUUCAUCAUCUCCAGUCCAUCGCGCCCCACCUUACACUAGACCAAUGCCAACAAAUUAUGGGCGCCGUAGGUAAAGAAGAUGUUUCACAAACCCAAGUAAAUUUUGCAGGUCUGUCUCCUUCUUGUCUAUUUUCUCAAAAGCAAUCCAAUUUAUUGCAUGCUUGGGUAAUUGAUAGUGGUGCUACCGACCAUAUCACUAAUUCACAUGACUUUCUAAUUGACACAUCUCCAUCCUCCAUGUCCCCAGUAGGAUUGCCCACAGGGGCUAAGGCACCCAUAAAAUCCACUGGCAAAAUCACUUUUGAUGGAAAUUUGUGUCUAACUGAUGUUCUUUGUGUUCCAUCCUUUAAUGUUAAUUUGAUGUCAGUUCCCAAACUCACAGAGUCACUUAAUUGUUGUGUUGUGUUCUUUCCCAAUUUUUGUUAUACACAGGACUUGGUUAAGAAGAAGAUGAUUGGAUUGGGUAGGCGGCAUGGCAACCUAUACUAUUUUGAUCCAAACUAUAUUUCUCAUAAGCCACCAUCCUCCUCACACCAUGUGUUAUCUCGAUAAAAUCUUUGGCACUUGCGGCUAGGACAUCCAUCAGAUGCCCGCCUUCUUAUCUUGGCUCAACAUGAAUCUGAUAUUUUCUUUUCCCAGCACUCCUGUGAUUUUUUCCCAUUGGCUAAACAAACUAGACUUCCAUUUACUUUAAGUUCCAUUUCAAGUAUUGAUUCUUUUGAUUUUAUUCAUUGUGACUAUUGUUGGGGCAAGAUAUUUUUUGACUAUUGUUGACGAUUAUACAAGGUGCACAUGGGUUUAUUUAAUGCCAUAUAAAUCUGAUACUCAAGGUCUUCUUAAAUCCUUCUUCGCCUUUGUUUAUACUCAAUUUAACAAAACAAUAAAGGCUAUUCGUGUAGAUGAUGGUGGUGAGUUUUCUUCUCUAAAAACGUUUUUUUGCAGAUCUUGGUGUGGUUUACCAACAUUCCUACGUCUCAACACCUCAAUAAAAUGGGAUUGUGGAACGUAAACACCAACACCUUCUAGAGAUGGCUCGAGCCUUGCGAUUCCAUGCACAUCUCCCUCUUAAUUUAUGGGGAGAAUGCGUACUCACUGUUGUAUAUCUGAUUAAUCGUCUCCCCACUCCACUUUUAACUGGUAAAACUCCCAAUGAGCUUUUAUUUAACCAUCCACCCAUUUAUAAACAUCUUCGUGUUUUUGGUUGUCUUUGUUAUGCAACUAAUUUACACCCUUCUCAUAAAUUUGAUAAACGGGCACGUAAAUGUAUUUUCGUGGGUUAUCCUUUUGGUCAAAAGGCUUAUCGUGUUUAUGACUUAGAGACCAAAAAGUUUUUCAGUAGCUGGGAUGUUAUUUUUCAUGAAAAUGUCUUUCCUUUUGCUAAUCAACAUGAUGUACCCACUAUCCCUGUCUUGCCUUUAACCCAAUGAUUAUGAUUAUGUGCCUGUCCACAUAUCAGACCCACUACCCACUUCAUCUUCCAAGCCAAAUCCACCAACCAAUCUAGAUAUGCAUCCACCUAGCCCAAACACACACUCUGGCACACCUACACCACCUCUUCCAAAUACACCACCACCUAGUCCACGCACACAAUCUAGUCCAAAUACACACACCCAAUUUAGCCCCAACACGCAAUCUAAUAUAUCCCCUCAACCUAGUCCACCACUAAGUCCAUCACAUGAUACACACCCACCACCAUCGCUUCGACAUUCUGAAUGCCUAAAACAACCUUCAGUGCUCCUACGUGACUACCACUGUUACACCGCCAUGUCUCUCUACUCUAAUUCGUCAUCUUCUUCAAAUACAAAAGGUAAGGGCACCCGAUACCCUAUUUCCCAAUUUCUUAAUUAUCAUAAUUUGUCAUCCACUCACAAAUCUUUUGUAGCUUCCAUCUCUCGAGUUGUUAAGCCAACUACUUUUGCCCAAGCUUCGACUGACCCUCUUUGGCAAGAAGCCAUGGACAAGGAAAUUCAAGCUCUUGAGCAAAAUAAUACUUGGUCCAUAACACCUUUACCUGCAGGAAAACACCCAAUUGGCUGUAACUGUCCAAAGUCAAAUAUAAUUCUGACGGUUCCGUUGAGCACUACAAAGCUCGUCUCGUGGCCAAGGGAUAUACCCAACAGGAAUGCUUAGACUACACGGAGACAUUCUCUCCCACAGCUAAAUUGGUCACUUUCCGAUGCUUGCUUGCUCUUGCCGCUGUACGCAAUUGGCCCCUCCACCAAUUAGACGUCCAAAAUGCUUUUCUUUAUGGAGAUUUAGACAAAGAAGUCUACAUGCUUCCUCUACCCGGCCUUUGCCGACAAGGGGAGCACUUGGUUUGUCGGCUACACAAAUCAUUAUACAGGUUGAAGCAAGCACCACGAAAUUGGUUUGCCAAGUUCACCAAUGCCCUUCAAGAUGCCGGAUUUGUCCAUCCCUAGCAGAAUAUUCACUUUUCACAAGGUAUCACGAUAAUUCAUUUACCAUUAUAUUAAUUUAUGUAGAUGAUAUUGUCAUUAUAGGGAAUGAUCCUAAGGCAAUUCAGUCUCUUAAGGAUUUACUCCAUGCUCGCUUCCGCAUAAAAGACCUUGGAAAUCUUAAAUAUUUUUUGGGAAUUGAAGUAGCAAGAUCAAAGAAGGGAAUUUUCAUCUCUCAACGCAAGCACACACUGGAUAUACUUGACAACGCUGGACUUUUGGGUGCUCGCCCUUAUUCCUUUCCCAUGGAGCAGACGCUUAGACUCAACCCUACUGAUGGCAACCACUACAAGAUCCUACCAGAUGCAGGCGAUUAGUAGGUCGCCUCAUUUAUCUCACAGUAACAAGGCCAAAUCUCUCAUUUGCUGUCCAUGUGCUUAGUCGUUUCAUGCAUGAGCCGCACCAACCUCAUCUAGAUGCAGCUCUUCGUGUACUACAUUAUUUGAAAGGCUCUCCAGGAUAAGGCAUUUUAUUCCCUACUACAAACAACCUAAAGUUAAAGGCAUUUUGUGACUCAUGUUGGGCAAGUUGUCCAACUACCAAGAGAUCUGUCACAGGUUAUUGUACUUUCCUUGGUGAUUCUUUGAUUUCUUAGAAAAUCAAAAAAUAAAAUACCGUGGCACGUUUCUCUACAGAAGCAGAAAACCGAGCUAUGGCAGAUGCGUGUUGUGAGCUCACAUGGUUACGUUACAUCCUCAAAGACUUGGGCAUUCAACAUUCAGAACCAGCAGUAUUGCAUUGUGAUAAUCAAUCAGCCCUUUAUAUUGCAAAGAAUCCAGUAUUUCACGAGUGAACGAAGCAUAUUGAUCUUGAUUGUCACUUGGUGAGACAAAACAUUCAAUCAAGCUUGGUGUCUACUGCCUACACGCCAACAAAGAUGCAGAUUGCUGAUAUAUUUACUAAACCCUUGGGCAAGGUUCCUUUUGGCUCACUAUUAGGCAAGUUGGGAGUAUACAACAUACACUCUCUAACUUGAAGGGGCAUAUUGAAAUAAGAGGUCAACGUGAAUAUUUUUUUGCUAGUAUAAAAGAUUGACAGCUACAAUUUAGCAUUCCUAUUCUGGUUAACCACUGAUUUGUAGGAUCUAGAUACAAGGAGAAUUGUAGGUUCAUCUCCUAUAUAUGUUGCUGUACCUUCAGAAUUGUACAUUGUACAAAUAUAUGAAAUACCAGUUUCUUUACACUUCAUGGUGUGCUUUAGCUACAUCUUCUACCCUUCUGCGUUGGUCACAUUCAUGUAAUCUUGUACAUGAAGCAACGUACCACAAAGGCUACCAAAAAUUUAAUGACUGUGGACCAGAAGGAAGCAGUAUAUAGGUCCUACUACCUGUGCAUUUCUUGACUAAUAGUUUGAUGCUUAAGGUAAAUCCAAUACAGUUAGUGUAAAUGUCCUUUUACUAUAUAAUUAGGUAUAUCCAAUACAAAAUAAAUCUUUAAUCUUGAACAUAUUUAUAUAGGGGAUUCUAUGACUCACAAAGAAAACCUACGGAUAUAUUUGUGUUUAUGUUUGAUCUCAUUUUCUCUUUUGUAAUUCCAUCUACUUUUCAUAAGAAUUUGUUUGAAACAACUUAUAUAUAAAAACUACCCUUGUUUUUAGAUGAUUAUUGUGGUAGGAUAAAAUCAACAAAAUAGACAAACACGGUAUUUCAAGAAAAGACUAUAAUAACAACUAUCUAAUUGAAUGAUCAAAUGGUUUCGGAUCCAAGUGAUUGUCGCAGAGAUGAUCUUUGAAGAAAUAUCUAAAAACUAGAUGGUAUUGGAUUAUUGAAAUGCAUGGUGAGUCUUAUAAGGGUGUCCUUCAAAUAAGCUUAUUUGAGAAAUCCCUCAACUAAAGCCAUAUCAGUCUCUUUCUCACAAUAUAUAUAUAUAUAUAUAUAUAUACACACCAUACCUUUUGUGAAAAUCUAAAAAUGCUAAAUUAGGAAUGAUAACUGAUAGUUAAAGAACUCUCGUGAUCACUCUACAAGAUUGUGACCUAAAUGAUGAAUCAGCAGCUUAAGUUUCACCCCAUUUGCCACAUACCAUCAAAGUAGGGGUUGACUUUGGCGUUCUUUAGCCUUUAAUCACCACAAGAGUCACAAAUUCUUCUCUUCUCUCUCCUUAUCUUUCCAACCCCACUGAUAUCUCAGAAAGGUCUAUAAAUAGGGAGAACCAAGCCACAUUAUACUCACUCAGCAAUCAUCUCUUGCAUACUUUCAUAUAUACAUUAUCGUGCUUGUUGUUAAGCAAAAGAUGGCAUCCUCAAAGGCUUGUCUUCUUCUUGGUCUUGUCUUUGCUGUUCUCUGUUGACGUGGGUCUCCUAAUUAAUCAAGGAGAUCUACUUCCUUGAUUAAUUAAGGGAUUUACUUUUUUAUUUUUUAUAUAGUUGAUAAAUUAUUGUAUAAUUAGGAGAUACUUUCCUAAUUCUUUACUGUAUAUAAUUUCUUCAAACACAAACCCUAAACCCUCAUAUCAAAUUUCGUCACACCCAAACCCUAAAUCAAAUUCCUCAUAUUUACAGCUUCAGAUUCGGAUCUUCAUACCCGAAUCCUCAUAUCCUCUUAUCACAAAACCCUAAACUCAUAUUUUUUUCUCUUAUCAGAAAACCCUAAACACAUAUUUUUCCUCUUCUCUUAAAUCCUUCCGCUACCAUGAAUAUCGUCUCAUCUUCCCAAACCACUGCCUCCACUUCCCCAUCCUCCACAAUUGCCACAACAAGUUCCCAUGGUUAUGUUUUGACAGGACCCGCCUCGAAUUUCCCAAACCCGAGACAAAUCUUGUGGAAAUUCCGACAUCACCCCAAUGUCGGACCCAAUCACUAAAACUAAAGCGUCCUGUCCCAAAAAGGAAUAAGGGCACGACACUUUCUACCGAAAUUUCGGCAGCCUCCCCUGUAAAUUGAACAUUCCCCAAAUUUCAACCUGCACAAAAACACAUUUAAUAUCCCAACAGGCAGCACUCACAAGAUAAUUUCAUGCAAUUCACAAACUCGGCCUUCGGCCUUUACAAAAACCGAAGUGAAACCAAACAACCCACAAAGCCCUUAAGCAAAAUAUUGCCUUCCGCAAGGCAAUUAAUAAACUCAAAUAUGAAUUAUGAAUACCAAACACAACUUACAUCAUCUACCUUUCCAAUUCUAACAUACGAGGUUUUAACCUCCUAACACAAUCACAUUUAUGUCUGCGGCUGCACCUAAUAACCUUAGGCUGCCUACAUACCCUCACUGAGGGAUCAAGCCAGACGUAGUUCUUUCUACUAAAUCCCGAUUUCCAAACACAGACAAUACCUUUAUUCAUCUCUCUGUUAAUCACAUAAUCUCCCCAUAUGCCGAAACUACCAACGCCACGUAUGGGGUCUGUCAACACGCCGGAUAACUUACGCCACGUGUGACCUCAACUUAUUAUUACCAUAUCUCCUCAUACGCCGGAUCUACCAACGCCACGUAUGGAGCCUGUCCGCACGCCGAAUAACCUACGUCACACGGGACCUCACAAUCAUAUCACAUAAUCUCCCCAUACGCCGGAUCUACCAACACCACGUAUGGGGUCUGUCAACACGCCGCAUAACCUACGCCAUGUGCGACCUCAACGUAUUAUUACAAUAUCUCCCCAUACGCCGGAUCUACCAACACCACGUAUGAGGCCUGUCCGCACGCCGGAUAACCUACGCCAUGUGGGACCUCACAAUCAUAUCACAUAAUCUCCGCACACGCCGAAUCUACCAACACCACAUAUGAGGUCUGUCAACAUGCUGGAUAACCUACGCCACGUGCGACCUUAACAUAUUAUUACAAUAUCUCCCCAUACGCCAGAUCUACCAACACCAUGUAUGGGGCCUGUCCCUAGGGUCAUUUAAAUCCUCCUGGGAAGGUGAGACUCCCCCGGAAGACUCACGGUCAACCAAGGGUCAAACUACCCCAAACUUGGUCAAACGGGCCCACUAGGCCCACAACCUCCAAAUUCCGAUCCAAAAGUUCCUAUAGGUUCUACAAUGUUUAGGACACUCAUCCUGCAAGUUUGGUCCGGAUUGGAUGGUCGGAUCGCUCACGAUCGCACGAUCCGACGGUUAUUAUAAAACAUAAACUUUAAGUUAUUAAAUCGGAACAUCCGAGGCUCCGAUUCAAGAUCCGUGAAUUCUUACACGAGCCUAGAAAUGACUAGAUUAACAUAUAAUAAAUUCAAGACCAUCCAACGGUCCAAACCUAUCGAACCCGGAUAACGCGCAAUAGGCGAUAUCCGUUCGAGACUCAAACGGUAUUUGAAUUCAAAUCCGAGCAUACCGUCAUGCUCGAGACGACAAGAGGGUUAUUUUAGAACUUUAAGACAUGCCACCACAUGGCCCACGCGCCACCCCACGCGCCGGCAGCGCGUAGGUGUCCAAAGAAAUUUUCGGCUGCUGAAAAAACUCCAAACCGCCGGCCAAGACUCCCAAGUUAGGUAAAUCAAAUGUAGUGGAGCAACUUUUGUUCUUGGACCUACCCCAAAAAGUGACCGGAAGUGGCCGGAAUCGGAGGCCGAAAACCGGCCAAACUUCCAUCGCUUAAUCGACCUUCAAAACGUAGAAAUCUCUCGAAUCUAACACAACAGGCAGCAAGAACAGCUCGAGAAGUUGAGAAAGCAUACCUGGAUCGACGAAAAUGGUGGCCGGAGGAUUCCAAACGAGCUCCGUAAAUUUUGGGUUAAAAUCGGUCGGAUUUUUGCAUUUUCUGGCGAUCACAGGUGGUUCCAGCGGCCGAGAUUGGUCGGGAUGGAAAGAGGGAGAACGCCCGGUUCUUUUCGAAUCGGUGCCACCCCAAACGGUGGCCGGUUGCGACAGUGGUGGCCCAAAAACCUUGGCGGUGAAUAGUAACAGAAGGGCUGUUUCUUGCGAAGGGAGAGGGAGGAAGAAGGAGAAAAAAUAAAAUUUAAAACUGCCCGGGUACUGUAGUAAAAUUUUAAAAUUACCUUUUCAUCCUUUUCGUUUUUAGACUUUUCCUCCUUCGUUACAACUCGAAAUUGGGCAUGCCGCAUGUCUACAAAUUCGUAUCGACGAGCUCUACGUAACGGUGCCACUUACUUCUCCAAAAUCUUUCCGAAUCAAAAAAUAACCAAAAUACCCUUACCCAAAGGGUAUAUUCGUAAAUUCAUAUUUAAAUUAAUUUAAUAAUUUAAUUGAGUAACCAAAUUAGGGUCGGGGUGUUACAUGUUUUGCAUAGUUCUUCAAAGAAACACAUAUGGGUCAUUGACACCGGAGCCACUGAUCACAUAACCUUUGAUCCUGGAUAAAUUACCUCUCAUACCCCGUCUUCUUAAUUGGUGGUGUCUAAUGCCAAUGGUAACCCCUCCCCAGUAAUUGGGGAGGGUUCCCUCUCUCUCUCUCUCUGACUCCCUCACUUUGGAUUCUUUAUUUAUUGUUCCAUCCUUACAUCAUAAUUUCUUAUCUGUUGCCCAAAUUACUACGGCUUUGAAUUGCAUUGUAACCUUUUGGCCUACUCAUUGGGUUUUUCAAGACAUUCUCAACAGCAAGACGAUUGGUUGUGGUACUAGGAUGGGCAGACUCUAAUAUCUGGACUUGGCAUCUGACAGUGAAGCCAGCCUCAGUCACUCUUACAAAAUUGGGGGUACGAGUGUUGAGAAGCAAACUUCCGAAGUAUGGUUAUGGCAUCGCCGACUUGGACAUGCUUCGUUUGGAUAUUUACAAAAGCUAUUUUCUUCCUUAUUUUCCCAGUUAGAUAUCUCCAGUUUUACGUGUGACAUCUGUGAAAUAGCCAAGAGCCAUCGUGUUCCUUUCCCCUUAAGUUCACAUAAAAGUUUGGUUCCUUUUUCUCUUGUUCAUUAUGAUGUUUGGGGCCCGCUAAAAUUACCACUCUCGGGGGAGCUAGAUGGUUUGUCACAUUUAUCGAUGAUUGCACACGUAUGACCUGGGUUUCCCUUCGCCAAACAAAAGGGGAAGUCAAUUCCAAGUUUCAACAGUUCUAUCACAUGGUGGAGACACAAUUUCAUACAAGAAUUCAAGUUCUUCAGUCUGAUAAUGGCAGAGAAUUUCUCUACCAUGAUCUUACUCAGUUCUUACAAGAUCAUGACAUUAUACAUCAACGCUCAUGCCCUUACACUCCUCAACAGAAUGGUGUGGCUGAACGAAAGAAUAAACACUUAUUGAAAAUGGUUCGUGCCUCUCUCUUUGGUGCCAAUAUGCCUCGGUCCUUUUGGGGAGAAGUCGUCUUCUUUGCAGCAUACCUUAUCAAUCGGAUUCCCUCCAGUAUCCUUAAUUUCCAAACCCCCCUUCAAACACUCUACAACCAUAUCUAAAUACCUCUUGCCAAAAACCUAAAACCACGGAUUUUUGGCUAUGUGGUCUUUGUCCCCUUACAUGAUCACUAAAGCAGCAAAUUGGAUCCCCGUGCUGAAAAGUGUGUUUUUAUUGGUUAUGCACCUCAUCAGAAAGGUUACGGGUGUUAUCAUCCUCCUAGUCAGAAGGUCUACACUUCUAUGGCUGUUGUGUUCCAAGAGCACGACAUAUAUUUUUCAGCCGUACAUGAGGAGCAUUGCGAUGCCAAACAUCUCAAAUUUCAAGACUUUUUCCUUCAUAAUUGUCACUUACUGAAAACCAUCGGUCGUAGAAUGCAAGCGACAGGUAGCCGGAGACUGUGCCUAAGAACGACCGGUCGCAGCCUAAGACUCUGCCUGAAAGCGACCGGUCGUCCCCCAGAAAUCCGAAUCUGCUUCAAAACGACAGUCGUCUCCCUGCUGUCAAACUUAGGAGAACAUUGAGGAGUUUUUGAGCGCUCAGGAAAAUUCUUCAACUCCAGUAUCCCACCAAUCACCUGCUGAGGACGUCAUUCAGGUAACCUCUUUUCUUGAAACUGAUAACAUUAAUGAAAUAUCCCAUGAUGAUUUAAUUUCAGAAUGCAUAGAGCCUGCAUAUCAGAUUCCAAGAUGGAAGAACGUGGAAAACCUCCAGUUCACUACGAAGCAGACCUUAAUGGAAAAUGAAAAUAUCCCAUCAACAAUUAUGUAUCCAUCAGCAGAUUAUCAGAAUUAUGGGUACACUUUGUGAAGCAGUUGGAUGACAUACCUAUUCCCAACAAUGUAACUGAAGCACUAGAAGACUCAAAAUGGAAAGAAGCCAUGAAUGAAGAAAUGCGAGCUCUCCAGAAGAAUGGCACAUGGGAACUCGUGCCAUUACCUCAUGGAAAGAAGACUGUCGGAUGCAGGUGGAUUUAUAUUGUGAAACUCAUAGCAGAUGGAUCCAUUGAAAGAUAUAAAGCUAGAUUGGUGGCGAAGGGGUGCACAUCAAGAUAUGAGAUAGACCACCAUUAGACUUUUGCCCCAGUAGCCAAGAUUAAAACUAUCAGAGUUCUUCUAUCUCUAGCAACAAAUCUCGAUUGGCCAUUACAUCAGUUUGAUAUAAAAAAAUGCAUUCUUACAUGGAGACUUGAAAGAAUAAGUAUAUAUGGACUUGCCACCAGGAUGUAACUUAGCUCGCGACAAGGAGAAUCAAGUUUGCAAGCUGAGAAAGUCAUUGUAUGGGUUAAAGCAAUCCCCCAGGGCAUGGUUUGGUAGAUUCACUAAAUCUAUGAAGAAUUUUGGAUAUAUACAGAGUAAUGCAGAUCACACCUUGUUUCUAAAGCGUGAUGGAAGAGGACUUACUGCACUGAUUGUUUAUGUGGAUGACAUAGUCGUAACUGGAAACGACAUAGAAGAGCAAUUAAAACUGCAUAAAUAUCUAUCUCAGGAAUUUGAGAUGAAGAAUCUAGGUGAUAUGAAGUACUUUCUAGGAAUUGAAGUAGCCAGGUCCACAACUGGUAUAUUUCUGUCUUAAAGGAAGUAUGUAUUAAAUCUCCUCACUGAAAUAGGAAUGCUUGGAUACAAACCUGCUAAUACACCCAUCGAGAUGAUUCACAAGUUAUGUGAAGACAUGGAUCAAGAACCAACCAAUAAGGAACAGUACCAACACCUUGUUGGAAGAUUGAUAUAUUUAGCUCACACAAGACCAGAUAUUGCAUAUUCUGUGAGUGUGGUUAGUCUGUUUAUGCAUUCACCCAGUGUGUCCCAUAGGAAUGCAGUUGAUCGGAUCUUAAGAUACUUAAAGUCAGCACAUGGAAGAGGGUUAACGUUCUAAAAAAAAUAGAGAUCUCGAAGUUGUAAUGCUGAUUGGGCUGGCUCCAUUACUGACAGACGCUUUACUUCAGGUUACUUCACUUUUGUGGGAGGUAACCUAGUCACUUGGCGGAGUAAAAAACAAAAUGUGGUUUCUCGAUCUAGUGCUGAAGCAGAGUAUCGAGGAAUGGCUCACGAAGUUUUGGAAUUACUAUGGAUCAGAAGACUAUUGACAGAAUUGGGGUUCAAGACAGAAAAGUCAAUAGAGUUACAUUGUGAUAACAAGUCACCCAUCGAUAUUGCCCAUAAUCCAGUUCAACAUUAUUGAACUAAACAUGUUGAGAUGGAUAGACAUUUUAUCAAAAAAAAAAACUUGAGAAAAAGAUCAUCCGCCUACCAUUGGUAAAAUCAGAAGAUUAGUUGGCAGAUAUCUUAACCAAAGCUGUUUGUGCAAGAGUAUUUUAUGACUCACGUACCAAGUUGGGCAUUUGUGACAUAUAUGCACCAACUUGAGGAGGAGUGUUGACGUGAGUCUCCUAAUUAAUCAAGGAGGUUUACUUCCUUGAUUAAUUAAGGGAUUUAUUUUCCUAUUUUUUAUAUAGUUGAUAAAUCAUUGUAUAAUUAGAAGAUACUUGCCUAAUUCUUUACUGUAUCUAAUUCCUUGUAUAGCACCAUGUAAACUCUUAAAUAUACCUCAUUAUGGAGAAGAAUAAAGUUAACCUAAUGCAUUCAAACCAUAUUCAUAUUUUAGCAUUCUCCUCAUCUCCUCUAAGGUCUCAACUACUCCAACUCGUGAGUUUCUCACUUUCUUAACUAAAUCAUAUAUAUUAAAUUAGUAAUUGUAUCUUUCUUUCCAGUAACGAUUUGUGAAUUUAGGCACAUUUUAAUUAUAAGGUGCACUGUCAUGAAAAUGAUUAUGCUUCGAACUCUUUUUUGCAUGAAGGGCUAGUGGUUGCACCUGCAUGGCUUAAUUUGCACCUUAUUAAAUACAAACCUAGCUAUGAUUGUUAUAAGUUAUGUAUAUUGUUUUUGCUUUAUAUAUAAAGUUUUUGUUUAGACAACUUGUAAUUUAAAUUGAUGGCCCCUUUAAAAAUAAUUAGGCAUGACUAAUUUUGAAAAUUUUAGCUCUAACAUGUGUUUUGAACACUUAUAUGUAUUUGAUAUACUUGUGUUUUUUAUUUUGGCCCCCUCAAUCUGAAAAUUCUAGCUCCGCCCGGUGAUGAUUUUCUAGAUGACCAUGGUGACGGACGUGGAGGGUAUGGCCACGGACAUGGAGGGUAUGGCCAUGGCCACCACGGCAAAGGGGGGCCUUGUGCUGCUGAGACUGAAACCAAGAAUUAGAUAACCUGUUAGUUUGUGACUUACGUUGCAGGUGUGUUGUAAGGGUUGUGGUACAAAAUAAAGUUGUUUGGUUGAGUAAUCUAUAUGAACUCUCAAUCAUAGACUCUUCUUAAGCUUGUUCUCGUGUUCUCUGUAAUGUACGCAUUGGAAUGUGUUCUCUUGUUAUGUGAUAAAAUGUGAUUUAACUUGCUCAAUACAUAUUAUGUCAAAAAUGUUUAGUAUGGCUUGGCUCCUUAAAAUUGAGAGGGAGCACAUCCUCACAACAAACGAGAUUUUGGCACUAGUUAAACUUCACAAAAAUUAAAUUUAAAAAAAAAAAAAAAAAAAGAUUAAAAGAACUCAGAAGAAAAAAAAUUAAAGGAAUUUGCCAAGUGUCAAACCUCUAUUUGUUUUGAGGAGGAACUGCUCCUCAGUUUUAUGGAGCCAAACCUUUUCCUAAUAUUAAUGGAGUUCAUGUAUGACUCAUUUGUUUUGUGUGAUCACCAUUUGGUUAAUGAAUUGUGCGCAAAAUUUAAUAGGAUACGGAUCAUCUGCUAUGAUUUUAGUCCCCUAAUAGAAUGGAUCCUACUUUGGAGCACAUGUGGUAUCGGUAGUUCCUACUCGCACUCACAAAUACAUAUUGGUUGGUCCAUUAAAAUGCAAAUAUCACCUCUCAUAUCAUUAUGCGAACAUUGGGAACAAGAGUAGUGUUUCCACCGUUGACAAGGGAUGGAAGAUCUAGCUCGACGGAAAAAUAAGGAGUAAAACUUAUAGAAGCAUGCAUGCCGUGUAUGUAUUGUUGUUAUCAUGGAUACUAAUUUGGCAAUUAAUUUUCUAAUGGGUGAAUUAAAAAAACAUUUUUAAUCUAUAUAUGUAAAGUUAAAUAUCCUUUCUUGAUGAACAAUUUGUAAUUGCAUCUCUGUAAUUUUUAUGGGUUUGUGUUCUUGGUGGUUGACUAGUCAUUGUAUGAAUGUUGAAUAUGAGUAAGGUUCAUGGAGACAAAAUUGGUUUUGGUUAUGGUUGUUCUAGUUUAUGCGUUCCUCCUUCUUUGACCACAUUUGUCAAGGAGUCAAAUAAAAAAUUUGAUGUUUUAGAGCCAACUAGGACUCAAAGAUUCAUUCCUACUUGUCACCAUUGUGGUGUGAAAGGUCACAUCCAACCUAGGUGUAAUGCUCUAAGGAAUGUGUCUAGAGCAACCAAUGCAAAUGGCUUUAAGAACCAUGUUUCAUCUCUUAAAACAUGUGAGCUUGCAAAAUCUGUUCUUUGUAAAAGGGAUAAACCAAAAAGGUUCAUUCCUACUUGCCAUCAUUGUGGCACAUUGGGACACAUAAGAUCAAAGUAUUUUGAGUUUAGGAAUUUUGAGAAAAAGUCUUUUGUUCAUUUCAAGAAAGUAAAUGAUGACUCACUUCAAGUUGAAGCCAUGGCAGAGGCAUGAGAGGCGAGAAAGACUAUGUACUUUUAUAGUGUUAUCCCCGACUAAUAACACCAUAACAUUCGUGAUAAUAUUUUAAUGUGGAAUAAUAUUAUUGAUCGAAUAUAACAAAAUAGUACUAUCCCCGUUGCGACUACGUUUUUAUCCGUGGACUGCUAGGCUUACCUAGUCUUUAAAAUGCAGUUGAAGAAUUUAUUAUUAUGAAAAUGACGUGAGAGAGGGAGGGGGUCAUAUAUUUUCAGAAUAAUUUUGCUAAAAAACGAAAGCAGAAGAAUUAAUUAUUAUGAAAAUGACGUGUAAUAAAACCACAGGUUGUGUGACAUUGCCGUACAUGCAGUCGGUGAGUCCACAGACGAACAUGCAUUUGUUUUGAGUCACAUUAAUUAAGCAGUGAAUGGGGGCACUAGUUGUCCAUCUUUAUAUGACCCAAUGACUUAAGAUAUCUAUAUAUAUGCAUACGGACUUUAAAAAGUAGAAGCAAUACAGCCUUAGAAAGGCAGUGCGUGCAUGGAAAAAGAUUAUUAGGUAACGAUAUAAAUUUACGGUACCUAAUACAUUAGCGCUAAUUGAUAAUUUUUUGAUACUCUAAUAAUAAUAUUGACAAUUAGUGUCGAAAUAUCAGGUACGAUAAGUGUCGAAUUGAGAAUAUAUUAGGUACGAUAAAUUGAUAUUAAGUAUUUCGUCGGUAGUUGGUAGGUACUUAGUAGCUAUCAAGUAAAUAUUAUAUGAGAUACGAAGAUCAACAUGAAUUAUAUCUUUGUAAUUUAGUAGCUAUGCUUGUAUCUGGUCCUGAUUUGCAUAUCUAUUAUUAGGUAAAAUACUUUGAAAUUAUUGAACUUUAAACAUUUUCAUUAAUCAAAGGGCUAUUAAGAACCCAAAGGCAAAUAUAAUGGUUUACGUGGGUGGGUAUGGAACUUGUGUGUAUUCUUUGACCUUGUCAAUCUUAUUAAUGAGUGUUGGUUGGUGGGGUCCCGAUUUGCAUAUCAAUUAUUAGGUAAAUUACUUUGAAAAAGCACAAAUCGUCAAAGUUUGUGGACAUGAGGGAUAGAUACUGUGGCUGGAUUGUCAACAAUGACAGAGUGAACGACUUUUCUUCAUGGUGUGCUUUAGCUACAUCUUCUAUCCUUCUGCGUUGGUCACAUUCAUGUAAUCUUGUACAUGAAGCAACUUACCACAAAGGCUACCAAAACUUUAAUAACUAUAGGUCCUACUACCUGUGCAUUUUUACUUGACUAAUACAAUUAGUGUAAAUGUCCUUUUACUAUAUAAUUAGGUAUAUCCAUACAAAAUAAAUCUUUAAUCUUGAACAUAUUUAUACAUGAUAUACGGAUUCUAUGACUCACAAAGAAAACCUACCAUACAUUUGUGUUUAUGUUUAAUCUCAUUUUCUCUUUUGUAAUUCCAUCUACUUUUCAUAAGAAUUUGUUUGAACCAAUUUAUAUAUAAAAACUACCCUUGUUUUUAGAUGAUUAUUGUGGUAGGAUGAAAUCAACAAAAUAGACAAACACGGUAUUUCAAGAAAAGACUAUAAUAACAACUAUCUAAUUGAAUGAUCAAAUAGUUUCGGAUCCAAGUGAUUGUCGCAAAGAUGAUCUUUGAAGAAAUAUCUAAAAACUAAAUGGUAUCGGAUUAUUGGAAUGCAAGGUGAGUCUUAUAAGAGUGUCCUUCAAAUAAGCUUAUUUGAGAAAUCCCUCAACUAAAGUCAUAUCAGUCUCCUUCUAACAGUAUAUAUAUACACACCACACCUUUUGUGAAAAUCUAAAAAUACUAAAUUAGGAAUGAAAACUGACAGUUAAAGAACUCUCGUGAUCACUCUACAAGAUUGUGACCUGAAUGAUGAAUCAGCAGCUUAAGUUUCAGCCUGUUUGCCACAUACCUUGAAAGUAUCCCACCCAAUUAAUCACACAAAAACAACUUCUUUUGACUUGAUCACACAAGACAACUUAGCUAGCUUUUAUUGUCCCGCCUCUAAUAAAAGCUUACUUAAUACGUAGUCCCAUCAACCCUACCAUCAAAGUAGGGGUUGAAUUUGGCGCUCUUUAACCUUUAAUCACCACAAGAGUCACAAAUUCUUCUCUUCUCUCUCCUUAUCUUUCCAACCCCACUGAUAUCUCAUAAAGGUCUAUAAAUAGGGACAACCAAGCCAUAUUAUACUCACUCAUCAAUCAUCUCUUGCAUACUUUCAUAUAUACAUUAUCGUGCUUGUUGUUAAGCAAAACAUGGCAUCCUCAAAGGCUUUUCUUCUUCUUGGUCUUGUCUUUGUUGUUCUCCUCAUCUCCUCUGAGGUCUCAGCUACUCCAACUCGUGAGUUUCUCACUUUCUUAACUAAAUUAUAUAUAUUAAAUUAGUAAUUGUAUCUUUCUUUCCAGUAACGAUUUGUGAAUUUAGGCACAUUUUAAUUAAGGUGCACUGGUCGUGAAAAUGAUUAUGCUUUGAACUCUUUUUCUGCAUGUAGGGUUAGUGGUUGUUGCACUUGCAUGGCUUAAUUUGCACCUUAUUAAAUACAAACUGAUCCAUGAUUGUUAUAAGUUAUGUAUAUGUUUUUGCUUUAUAUAUAAAAUUUUUGUUUGUUCUCUCAGAGGAGAGUAUAGUCAACGGUGAUGGCCACGGACAUGGAGAGUAUGGCCAUGGACAUGGAGGUUAUGGACACGGACAUGGAGGGCAUAACCACGGACAUGGAGGGUAUGGCCAUGGACAUGGAGGGUAUGGCCACGGCCACCACGGCAAAGGGGGGCCGGGUGCUGCUGAGACUGAAAUCGAGAAUUAGAUAACCUAUUAGUUUCUGUGACUUACGUUGCAGGUGUGUUGUAAGGGUAGUAGUACGAAAUAAAGUUGUUUGGUUGAGUAAUCUAUAUGAAAUCUCAAUCAUAGACUCGUCUUAAGCUUGUUCUCGUGUUCUCUGUAAUGUACGCAUUGGAAUGUGUUCUCUUGUUAUGUGAUAAAAUGUGAUGUAACUUGCUCAAUACAUAUAUUAUGUAAAAAAAAUGUUUAGUAUGGCUUGGAUGCUUAAAAUUGAGGGGAAGCACAUCCUCACAACAAAUGAGAUUUUGACACUUGUUAAAAUAACUUUACUUUUUCCUAAUAUUAAUCGAGUUUAUAUAUGACUCAUUUGUUUUGUAUGAUCACAUUUGGUUAAUGAAUUGUACACCAAAUCUAAUAGAAUAUCGAUCCUCUGCUAUGAUUUUAGUCCUUUAAUAAGAUGAAUCGUAAUUUGGAGCACAUUUGGUAGUUCCUACUCUCACUCAAAAAUACAUAUUGGUUGGUCCAUUAAAAUGCAAAUAUCACCUCUCAUAUCAUUAUGCGAACAUUGGGAACAAGAGUAGUGUUUCCACCGUUGGCAAGGGAUUGGAAGAUCUAGCUUGAUGGAAAAAUAAGGAGUAAAACUUAAAGAAGCAUGCAUGCCGUGUAUGUAUUGACGAUACUAAUUUGGCAAUUUCUAGUGGGUGAAUUAAAAAAACAUUUUUAAUCUAUAUAUGUAAAGUAAAAUAUUGUUGUAGUUAAAUUUUAAAAUAAUUCAUUUAAGAAAUUUGUGGUCAAUUUGUGAUUGCAGAGGUUCAAGAGAUUUGUGGUCACUUACUGUUGGAUGUAAAUUUAACGGUUCACUUACUCUUGCACUCCUUUUAAGAAACUUUUUUGAACUAUUGAAUGUUACAUCCAAAGGUGGGUGAUCACAAUCUCUUAGACCCCUAUAAUCCAAGAGAUCGAAACUAUUAAUAAGAUAUACAAAUGCAUGAACUAAUUUAGUUAAAUUGAUAACUCGAGGACUAAAGUGGCGAAUGAGUUAAAACAAAAGAACCAUUUCAACAUUUAAACCGAAAAAAACAUUUUGAUUAUGUGGGCUGCUUUCGCAAGAGAUAAAUAAAACCUCUUUUUCUACGACCUAGUGAUUUAUAAUAAAAUAUUAUUUAUCUUACUAUUUCUAUUGCAUGCUGCCAUAAGCCUUAUAUUUUUAUAUUGUAAUAGAGGUGAAACGCGUCACUCAAUGACUUUCAGUAUGGGCAGUAGCAAAAAUAUUAGAAAUUAAUUUAUGCAUAUGCUCAGUGCUCAAAUUUAAGGGAUGAAGCCACGUGAAGAUUUUGUUAUAUAAAAACAAAAAGAAGCAAAAAAGAAAAAUGGAAGGCCACCCCACGUGAAAUGGUGAAGCAACGGCUACAAUUACAAAGCAAACCAUCAACAAAGAAAUAAAAAAAAAAAAGCAAAAGGAAGCAUCCAAUGCAAAUUAUAAAAAAAAAAGUAAUAGGAAACCGUGCGAAUGCCAGUCUUCAUUCUUAAUAGCUACCAUGCCAAGUAUAUCAAUUUACGGUGCCUAAUACAUAGGGGUGGCAAUUUCGGAUACGACCCGAUACACGACUCGAAACCCGCACGAGAAAUUAGCGGGUUCAACCCGCACGAUAAAAAAACGGGUCAAUUUCGGGUCAACCCGUUCUGACCCGUUUAAUAAACGGAUGGGUUUCGGGUCAACCCGCUAACCCGCUAUAAUACCUAUCUAACCCGUUUAUUAAACGGGUCGUGUCAACCUGUGUACAACCCGUCAACCCGUCUCUUCUCCUUUUUUUUUCCUUCUUUCUUCUCUUCUCUCUUUUUUUUUUUCCUCUCUUUUCCUUUCCUCUUCUCUCUUUUUUUCUUCUCCUCUCUUUUUUUUUUCCUCUCUUCAGUUUUUUUUUUUCCUUCUUUCUUCUCUUCUCUCUUUUUUUUUCCUCUCUUUUCCUUUCCUCUUCUCUCUUUUUUUUUUCCUCUCUUUUCCUUUCCUCUUCUCUCUUUUUUUUUUCCUUCUCUUCAGUUUUCUCUCAUCUCUCUUUUUUCUGUCUUACUUUCCUUCAAUCUUCUCUCCUAUCUCUCUCUCUCUCUCUCUCUCUCUCUCUCUCUCUCUCUCUCUCUCUAUUUUUUUCUUUCUUUAGCUUCUCUCUUCUCUCCUCUCUCUAUCUUUUUUUUUUCUUUCUUUUCCUUAUAUUUUCUCUACUCUCUCUGUUUUUUUUUAAUUAAAAUUUUUUCGGUUGUGAGUUUUGUAACAUGCAUGUUAUUCUUUAUGAACCCGUUACACGACUCGAAACCCGCACGAUAAAAGACGACCCGAACCCGACACGACACGUUUAUUAAAUAGGUUGGGUUCGGGUUGAGCAUUCUUGACACGUUUAUUAUCCCGACACGACACGAACCCGACACGACCCGACCCAUUGCCAGCCCUACUAAUACAUUAAUUAGCACUAAUCGAUAAUUUUUUGAUACUCUAAUGAUAAUAUCGAUAAUUAGGAGUGUAUCCAAUUCAAAUUUUUAAUCACUUUUAUAGAGUUUAAAAGUUUGAAUGUAUUCAAUUUAGAUUUUUAAAGAGUUUAUAAAAGUCUAAUGGUAUUCAAUUGUGACUUUUAAAAAGUAGUUAAAGUAGUUAAAAGUUUUGUGGUAUCCAAAAAGUUAAUUAUUUUAAAAAAAGCUUAUUAAAUGAAUGACUUUUCUAUAAAAGUAUUUGAGCUAAUUGUUAAGAGCAAAAGUCUUGUUAAUUUAUACUAGUGACUUUUAUAAGUAUUUAAGAAUUUUUCAACUCUAUAAAAAUUACUCAUUUAAAAAAAAUCUUUAUAAGUAUGAAUUGGAUACACUUAAUAUUGAAUUCAUAAUAUAUCAGGUAUUGUAAAUUUAUAUUCCGUAUCAGGCAGUAAGUAGCUAUAUAGCCAUAGUUUCGAGUAAAUAUUAUAUGAGCUUUGAAGAUAAUUAACAUUUAUUCUCUUUGUACUUUAGUAGUUGGGGUUGUAUCUGGUCCUGAUUUUGCAUAUCUAUUAUUUGAUAAAGUCACCUCUGAAAAAGCACAAAUCAUCAAAGUUUGUGGACAUGAGAGAGAGAGAUUACUGUGGCUGGAUUGUCAACAAAGUGUGAAUGGCUUUUCUUCGUGGUCCUUUGGCUUCAUCUUCUACCCUUCUGCGUUGGUCACAUUCAUGUAAUUUUAUAAAGGAAGCCACGUACCACAAAGGCUACCAAGGGCUGAGUUGGAAUCCCAUUCUAAGUAAGGAUUCUUAUGGUUUCAAAUGAUCUAGUUACAUGAGAACUAGGAAAGGAGAACUUUCCCUACUUUGAACCCGACUCUUUGAUAUUAAGAAUGCUGGUUUUAAGAAUGAGUGAUUGCCCUUCUCCAACCCUUAUUGCCCAACCUAAAAGCAGACAGCUAAUGCAAUCCACUUAUUAAUAACUAUUGUAGAUUGAUCUAUAUUAAAUUGACUUGUAUUAAUAUAACUUUAUACACAGUACUAGAUAAUAUGGUAGAGAGAUUCAGAAACUUUAAUAAUUGUGACCACAAAAGGAAACAGUAUAGGUCCUACCUGUGCAUUUUUUCCUGCCUAAACCCUAAACACCUUUUGUUUUUGUGAUCAUCUAAACAUGCUAAAUUAAGAAUGAAAAUUGACAGUUAAAGACUCUCACGAUCACUCUACAAUACUGUGACCUGAAUGCUGAAUCAGCAACUUAAGUUUUAGCCCAUUUGCCACAUACCUCGAAAAUAUCCCAUCCAAUUUCAUGCAACUAAUCACACAAAAAAUAACUUCUUUUGACUUGAUCAAAAAAGACAGCUUAGGGCCCGUUUGAAAACCAUUUCAAUUUUAGUUUUUAGUUUUUUUUUUUUGUUAGAGUAUACAGGAAAAAGAAGGAGAAUGAAAUUGAGUGAAGAUGAGAUUGAGAGAGAAGAUGAAAAGAGAGGAUAAGAGGAAGGAGUGACAAAAGUGAAAACAAAAACUAAAAACUGAAAUAUAUUUGAAAUUGUUUUCACUUUUGUUCCUCCUCCCUCCCAUAUCCUCCCUUCUCAUCAUCUCCCUCAUCUCAAUCCUCACUCCCACUCUCAUUUUUCUCUAACAUUCUAGCACAAAAAAUGAAAACCAAAAACAAAAAUUGAAAUGUUUAUCAAAUAGCCCUUACCUUUCGCGUUCCCACCUUUAAGAGAUGCUUACUUAAUACGUAGUCCAUCUAAAGCAGAAAAAAAAAGCAUUGCUUGGUAAAGUCCAAAACCAAAAGAUUAAAAAUAGGGGUUGGGUUUGGCACUUUAUCCUUUAAUCGUACUUAUCUUCUGAUUUGAAAAAAAAAUCACAAAUUCUUCUUUUCUCUCUCCUUAUCUUUCCAACCCCACUGAUAUCUCAUAAAGGUCUAUAAAUAGGGAGAACCAAGCCACAUUAUACUCACUCAGCAAUCAUCUCUUGCAUACUUUCAUAUAUACAUUAUCGUGCUUGUUAAGCAAAACAUGGCAUCCUCAAAGGCUUUUCUUCUUCUUGGUCUUGUCUUUGCUGUUCUCCUCAUCUCCUCUGAGGUCUCAGCUACUCCAACUCGUGAGUUUCUCACUUUCUUAACUAAAUCAUAUAUAUUAAAUAGUAAUUGUAUCUUUCUUUCCAGUAACGAUUUGCGAGUUUAGGCUCAUUUUAAUUAAGGUGCACUGGUCGUGAAAAUGAUUAUGCUUCGAAUUUGUACUAGAUAUAUAUAGCAUUAGUGCUCUAAAAUAUAUUAAUUAUGAGAAUAUCUGGAUGUAAUUUACUCUUUCUGCAGGAAGGGCUAGUGGUUGUUGUACUUGCAUGGCUUAAUCUAUGAUGGUUAAGUGAUGUAUAUUUUAGAGACUAAUGCUAUUUGUAACACAUUUACUGACCAGAUUGCUGAUCACCUCUCUAAUAUAGAUGGGCCCCACAUAUACUGGUGAGGCCACCUCUAUUAGAGAGAUGGUCAGCAAUGUGGUUAGUAAAUGUGUUCCAAAUAGCAGCACUCUAUUUUUUUCUACAUAUUUUCUUGGGUGCUGAUUUUUCCACUCCUUUUUUGGUUUUUUAAUGCUUUUACUUUAACAUAUAAGGAAGUGUAAGUUGACAAAAUAUGAGUGGGAACAUACAAUUUCUAACAAAAGGAGUGUAAGUGGAUAAAAGAUAAGUGAUAAAAUCAGCUCUCUCUCUCUCUCUCUCUCUCUCUCUCUCUCUCUUUUUCUAUAUAUAUAAAGUUUUUGUUUGUUUUAUCAGAGGAGAGUACAGUCAACUAUGAUGACAAUUUUCUUGAUGAUCACGAGCAUGGGCAUGGGCAUGGACAUGACCAUAGGCACGUCCAUGGCCAUGGGCAUGACCACAGGCAUGGACGACAUGGCCAUGGCCACAAUGGCAAAGGGGGACCUGGUGCUGCUGAGACUGAAACCGAGAAUUAGAUAACCUGUUAGUUUCUGUAUUUAUGCUGCAGGUGUAUCGUAAGGGUAGUAGUAUGCAAUAAAGUUGUAAUGGUUUGAGUAAUAUCUAUAAACUCUCAAUCAUAGGUUCGCCUUAAGCUUGUUCUUGUGUUCUCUGUCAUGUACGGAUUGGAUCACCUUGUUAUGUACUAAAAUGUGAUUUAACUUGUUGAAUACAUAUUAUGUCAAAAAUGUCUAGUAUGGCUUGGCUACUUAAAAUUGAGGAGGACAUCCUCACAAUAAAUGAGAUUUUGAAACUUGUUAAACUUCAAAAGAAAAAAAGGUUAAGGGAAUUCCAAAGAAAAAAAAUUAAAGGAAUUUUCCAAGUUUCAAAAGUCUAUUUGUUUUGAAGACGAACUCCUCCUCAGUUUUAAGGAGUGUAAGUUUUUUCCUAAUAUUAAUGGAGUUUCAUAUAUGACUCAUUUGUUUUGUGUGAUGACCAUUUGGUUAAUGAG
rnacentral:lncRNA from 1 species